rnacentral:tRNA from 1 species
AGUGGUUAAGCGUUCAGCUGCUAACUGAAAGGCUGGUGGUUCAAAUCCACCAGCUGCUC